AGUAGAGUAAAUAAGAAAAAUUGUUCUUUUAGUUCUAAUAGAUACGCAAAUACCUAAAGAAGAGAGAAAAGGGCUUCAAGUAGUCGCCGACGCACGCAAGCAGGAAGAAAAGGCUAUAGAGGGUCUUUGGUGGAGUUGACCAGAUUGAGGUCGUUUGGUUGGUGUUCUUGACGUUGCAAGAUUGGAGAAACUCUCUGUUAGCGAGAUCUCGGUACCGGAGCUUUUGGACCUUAGCGAGGUUGCUGCCUUCAGUCCAGCGGAGACCCGAGGUAGUCCUGCAGACGUCCGCAAGCCCUGGCGUCCCCUUCUAUAUUUUAUAUUCUGUUUUCAUUUACUUCAGAGACAGAUUGUAUCUUUCUUUCCAGACAACUCUUUGUAGUAAUCGUAGAUGAUCCGUGAUAUUGUGACACCAGUUCUGGGUAGAGAUGUACUUUGUAUUUUUUUGUACUAUUAUUUGGCUAAGUUAUC